rnacentral:rRNA from 1 species
GAAGGCUCAUUAAGUCCGUCAGGGACGAGGCAGCAGUAGAGAAUAUUGUGCAAUAUACGGCAGUAUGACACAGAGAGCACACGCCCUCUUGGCCUGUCCAACUAAGUGCCAGCAGACGCGGUUAGACUUAGGGGCCAAGCCUUUAUGAGCAAAGGGGCGUAAAGGGUGUGUAGGCCGACUGCCCCACCCCCCCCAAGGUGGUAAAUGGAAUUUUUCUGUAGCGGUAGAAUGUGCGGAUAGAAAAUAGAACCCCAAAAGCAGAAGCAAUUUACCGCGGGGUGGGAGGGGGGGCCCCCUAGGGCGCCCCCCGGGCUACGGGCUGAAACACGAGGGUGUGGGGAACAAACAGGAUUAGAGACCCUGGUAGUCCACACUGUAAACGAUGGAGAAAAUGCGAAUGCAGCCCCGAAAGGCAGCAAUCUCCCGCCUGAGUAGUACGAUCGCAAGAUUAAAAUUCAAAAAAUUUGGCUGUUCACCGUUUCGAUUAGAGGAGCGUGUAGUUUAAUUCGAUAAACCGCGAGAUACCUUACCCAAACUUGAAUCCUUGAGGAUUCCAAGGAAUCCUUAUGGACCGGUAUUGCAUGGCCGUCGUCAGUUCGUGUAUGAAACCUUAAACGGACCCAACCCGAGGAUUAGCCGCGGAUGAAGUCAGGUCUUAUGGUCCCAAUGUUUGGGGAUAAUAUGCGCUACAUUUUCUUAUACAAUGGGAAACCUGGGAGGUGAAACCCAAAAGUGAGAGUUCGGUAGGCUAUUGGAAGAUGGCCGAAAGUUGAAUUUAAUAGUAAUCGGAAAGUAUAGCGUUCCGGUGAAAUGGUCUAGGUGUUAGCACAAAUCGCCCGUCACCUUAACUUAGGAUGAUGGUUCGGACGCCGCCGCGCCCCCACGGGCUCCGGCGGUUACGGGCCCCUAC